rnacentral:rRNA from 1 species
UUAAGUUAUUAAGGGCGCACGGUGGAUGCCUUGGCACUAGAAGCCGAUGAAGGACGUUACUAACGACGAUAUGCUUUGGGGAGCUGUAAGUAAGCUUUGAUCCAGAGAUUUCCGAAUGGGGAAACCCAGCAUGAGUUAUGUCAUGUUAUCGAUAUGUGAAUACAUAGCAUAUCAGAAGGCACACUCGGAGAACUGAAACAUCUUAGUACCCGGAGGAAGAGAAAGAAAAUUCGAUUCCCUUAGUAGCGGCGAGCGAAACGGGAAGAGCCCAAACCAACAAGCUUGCUUGUUGGGGUUGUAGGACACUCUAUACGGAGUUACAAAGGACGACAUUAGACGAAUCAUCUGGAAAGAUGAAUCAAAGAAGGUAAUAAUCCUGUAGUCGAAAAUGUUGUCUCUCUUGAGUGGAUCCUGAGUACGACGGAGCACGUGAAAUUCCGUCGGAAUCUGGGAGGACCAUCUCCUAAGGCUAAAUACUCUCUAGUGACCGAUAGUGAACCAGUACCGUGAGGGAAAGGUGAAAAGCACCCCGGAAGGGGAGUGAAAUAGAACCUGAAACCGUGUGCUUACAAGUAGUCAGAGCCCGUUAAUGGGUGAUGGCGUGCCUUUUGUAGAAUGAACCGGCGAGUUACGAUUUGAUGCAAGGUUAAGCAGUAAAUGUGGAGCCGUAGCGAAAGCGAGUCUGAAUAGGGCGUUUAGUAUUUGGUCGUAGACCCGAAACCAGGUGAUCUACCCUUGGUCAGGUUGAAGUUCAGGUAACACUGAAUGGAGGACCGAACCGACUUACGUUGAAAAGUGAGCGGAUGAACUGAGGGUAGCGGAGAAAUUCCAAUCGAACCUGGAGAUAGCUGGUUCUCUCCGAAAUAGCUUUAGGGCUAGCCUCAAGUGAUGAUUAUUGGAGGUAGAGCACUGUUUGGACGAGGGGCCCCUCUCGGGUUACCGAAUUCAGACAAACUCCGAAUGCCAAUUAAUUUAACUUGGGAGUCAGAACAUGGGUGAUAAGGUCCGUGUUCGAAAGGGAAACAGCCCAGACCACCAGCUAAGGUCCCAAAAUAUAUGUUAAGUGGAAAAGGAUGUGGCGUUGCCCAGACAACUAGGAUGUUGGCUUAGAAGCAGCCAUCAUUUAAAGAGUGCGUAAUAGCUCACUAGUCGAGUGACACUGCGCCGAAAAUGUACCGGGGCUAAACAUAUUACCGAAGCUGUGGAUUGUCCUUUGGACAAUGGUAGGAGAGCGUUCUAAGGGCGUUGAAGCAUGAUCGUAAGGACAUGUGGAGCGCUUAGAAGUGAGAAUGCCGGUGUGAGUAGCGAAAGACGGGUGAGAAUCCCGUCCACCGAUUGACUAAGGUUUCCAGAGGAAGGCUCGUCCGCUCUGGGUUAGUCGGGUCCUAAGCUGAGGCCGACAGGCGUAGGCGAUGGAUAACAGGUUGAUAUUCCUGUACCACCUAUAAUCGUUUUAAUCGAUGGGGGGACGCAGUAGGAUAGGCGAAGCGUGCGAUUGGAUUGCACGUCUAAGCAGUAAGGCUGAGUAUUAGGCAAAUCCGGUACUCGUUAAGGCUGAGCUGUGAUGGGGAGAAGACAUUGUGUCUUCGAGUCGUUGAUUUCACACUGCCGAGAAAAGCCUCUAGAUAGAAAAUAGGUGCCCGUACCGCAAACCGACACAGGUAGUCAAGAUGAGAAUUCUAAGGUGAGCGAGCGAACUCUCGUUAAGGAACUCGGCAAAAUGACCCCGUAACUUCGGGAGAAGGGGUGCUCUUUAGGGUUAACGCCCAGAAGAGCCGCAGUGAAUAGGCCCAAGCGACUGUUUAUCAAAAACACAGGUCUCUGCUAAACCGUAAGGUGAUGUAUAGGGGCUGACGCCUGCCCGGUGCUGGAAGGUUAAGAGGAGUGGUUAGCUUCUGCGAAGCUACGAAUCGAAGCCCCAGUAAACGGCGGCCGUAACUAUAACGGUCCUAAGGUAGCGAAAUUCCUUGUCGGGUAAGUUCCGACCCGCACGAAAGGCGUAACGAUUUGGGCACUGUCUCAACGAGAGACUCGGUGAAAUCAUAGUACCUGUGAAGAUGCAGGUUACCCGCGACAGGACGGAAAGACCCCGUGGAGCUUUACUGUAGCCUGAUAUUGAAAUUCGGCACAGCUUGUACAGGAUAGGUAGGAGCCUUUGAAACGUGAGCGCUAGCUUACGUGGAGGCGCUGGUGGGAUACUACCCUAGCUGUGUUGGCUUUCUAACCCGCACCACUUAUCGUGGUGGGAGACAGUGUCAGGCGGGCAGUUUGACUGGGGCGGUCGCCUCCUAAAAGGUAACGGAGGCGCUCAAAGGUUCCCUCAGAAUGGUUGGAAAUCAUUCAUAGAGUGUAAAGGCAUAAGGGAGCUUGACUGCGAGACCUACAAGUCGAGCAGGGUCGAAAGACGGACUUAGUGAUCCGGUGGUUCCGCAUGGAAGGGCCAUCGCUCAACGGAUAAAAGCUACCCCGGGGAUAACAGGCUUAUCUCCCCCAAGAGUUCACAUCGACGGGGAGGUUUGGCACCUCGAUGUCGGCUCAUCGCAUCCUGGGGCUGUAGUCGGUCCCAAGGGUUGGGCUGUUCGCCCAUUAAAGCGGUACGCGAGCUGGGUUCAGAACGUCGUGAGACAGUUCGGUCCCUAUCCGUCGUGGGCGUAGGAAAUUUGAGAGGAGCUGUCCUUAGUACGAGAGGACCGGGAUGGACAUACCUCUGGUGUACCAGUUGUCGUGCCAACGGCAUAGCUGGGUAGCUAUGUGUGGACGGGAUAAGUGCUGAAAGCAUCUAAGCAUGAAGCCCCCCUCAAGAUGAGAUUUCCCAACUUCGGUUAUAAGAUCCCUCAAAGAUGAUGAGGUUAAUAGGUUCGAGGUGGAAGCAUGGUGACAUGUGGAGCUGACGAAUACUAAUCGAUCGAAGACUUAAUCAA